AUGCAUUUAACAUCUGAUCAAGGCAGAAUUUUAUCUUGUGAUAAUCUGUUGCCCAAACACUCUAUGAUUGCUGUCCUCCAGGCAGCUCACUGCACAGCACAGCAACCAAUCCAGACAACCAGCUCGAUCCCACAGCCCUUAUACCCCAGGGCCUGGAAGCCGUGGUACCCUGCUGACGAACCAGGACGCCGGUUGAGACACCCUGCUGCAAAGGGCUGGAGCGGCCACGAGAGCUCUGGCAGCAGGUCUGGCAGACGGAAGAUGAUGAACAGCCAGGAGAGAGAUGAAGCUCCUCAUGUCCACAGCCAGCUCAGCUGGAGCCUGAUGGACAAAUGAAACUUCUUAUAAAAGGAGACAUAAGAAGACCCUGCAAGGAAAAAUGCACAACAGAGUGAAGCAUAAUGAAAUGGGAAAAUGGGAUGUGAAAAACACAUGGUAUAUCAAACAAAAAUGUCCAGUGUUUCAUCCUGAAGAUUCCUCAAGAAGAGCACGGAUGAAUGACAGGAUGAAAAUCUGCAGAGUGCACUGCAAUGGAAUCUCCCAUCCAGAAGAUUUCCAGAGUGUUUGAUGGAGGAUUUUGCAUGAGCAGAAAACACUGCUGCAGUGCCAUGGAUUUAUGAGUAGUAAUAUGUAUUGUCAGAGUGGAUUUAAUGGGAGAUGUCACUUGCCUUCACUUUGGGGCCAGAAAUCUCUUAAAUUCUUUCAUCUCUGAGCUUCCCCAUGAGUCUUUCUCAUAAGCCAUGAAACAUGGGGCUGUGAGGACAUAAUGAUACACUGCUUCAGGAAAUAGUGUCAGAAAAGUGUGUUGUUUCAAACUUCACAGCAUCCCAGGAGCGAGUCACCCUGUCCUGCCUGGCUGUAGGUGGUAUCAGGAGGACGUAGGAAUCCAGAGUUGCUAUUUGUAGAUAACCAGGAAGGCGUUUCCUUCCUAACUAUGGUUUAAGUCUGAUGUUGGUACAAAGACAGCUUGUAAGAAUGAGACAGUGACUAACAAAUGAAACGUCACAGAGUUGGGGUAGUUUGAAGGGACCUCUGGAGCUCAUUGAGUCCAACCCCCUGCUACAGCAGGUUCCUUACAGCAGGUCACACAGGAAGGUGUCCCCAUCUUUCUUCUCCUCUUCACCUUAGGCAGAAACUUAAAUCACCUUUCUGAGGAGAGAGACGCAUUCUGGCAACUCAUUGCAACCAGGUCUCCAUGCCAGCCCACGAUGCCCAGCACAAAGACACAGAGAACCAGUUGCAGCCUCUCUGCAACUGAUUUACAGGGACACAGGAAGAAAUGUGACAGGCAGGGUUGAGAAGAGUUCACCUCCCCUCUUUCUUUCUUUUCCUUUUU
rnacentral:lncRNA from 1 species